rnacentral:rRNA from 1 species
UACGUAGGGUCCGAGCGUUGUCCGGAAUUACUGGGCGUAAAGAGCUCGUAGGUGGUUUGUCGCGUUGUUCGUGAAAACUCACAGCUCAACUGUGGGCGUGCGGGCGAUACGGGCAGACUAGAGUACUGCAGGGGAGACUGGAAUUCCUGGUGUAGCGGUGAAAUGCGCAGAUAUCAGGAGGAACACCGGUGGCGAAGGCGGGUCUCUGGACCAACACUGACGCUGAGGAGCGAAAGCCAGGGGAGCAAACGGG